rnacentral:rRNA from 1 species
ACGUAGGGGGCAAGCGUUAUCCGGAAUUACUGGGCGUAAAGGGUGCGUAGGUGGUUUUUUAAGUCAGAGGUGAAAGGCUACAGCUCAACUGUAGUAAGCCUUGCGAACUGGAAGACUUGAGUGCAGGAGAGGAAAGUGGAAUUCCUAGUGUAGCGGUGAAAUGCGUAGAUAUUAGGAGGAACACCAGUGGCGAAGGCGACUUUCUGGACUGUAACUGACACUGAGGCACGAAAGCGUGGGGAGCAAACAG